UACGCUUAUUUUUACAACGUACUAUUGUGAAUUUCAGUGUACAUUUUCACAAGUCUCUCAACAUUUUUAGACAAAAUUGUUGUUAGCAUCUCUAGUGUGUGAAAAAAUUUCGGUAGGUUGUGAAAAUAAAGUAAUUGUAUUGAAAAUAAUUAAAAUAUAUAUAAAAUACUUCAAUAAAACACUGCAAUAAACUGGUUGGCGUUGAUUGUAUGUUUUGUUAUUCAUACGUGAAGCACUGUAAGGUGAAGAACACAUAAAAGUGCACUGCUCUAAUUGUUUGCGAGAAUACACGGACCUCAGCGGUGACUUUCAAUAAACUGCUAGUGAAUUUAUUAUGCAAACAAAAAAAGUUAAACAGUGAAAAUAAGUUCUGUAAAAAUGUGAUUAGUGCUUGGGAAAUUCAUGAAAACUGCUGCCAUUUGUAGAAGCUAAAAAGAGAUCCCCGAAUGUGAACGAUCGAAAACGAUUAUCCUCUUUUGUCACUACAUUGUAUCGUGCUGCAUUGAUAGCUUGACAAAACGUGGUGUUUUUGUUGCUUUGGCAUGCUUGCUACGUUCGUUCAUUGUUGCACCACUGUGAAUUGCAAAAUUAAAUAUGUCAGUAGGUGUAUGCAGUGGUGGCAGCCAUUGUGAAUGCAUUAGUUUUUUCGCUGUGGUCACGUACUCUCUUUUAUGCUGUGCAAUUUUGUUAUAAUUUAGUCAGCUUUACCUGCGCGAAGAAUAUUGCGAAUUAAUAUUGUUUACAUUAUUGCAAAUACAAUAUUAGUGUGAUCCUACUUUAUGUGUAAAGAAAAUAUUGACAAAGUGAAAAUCAAUUAAAUGGAACACCUAACCAGCGACUAACAUUUAUUGCCAUUAAUAAAAUCGUAAUCGAAAAGCAAAUAAAAUAAACGUUGCUAUAACGGUUAAAUACAUUUAGCGAACGCGUGUGUGUGUGUGUAAGUGCAUGUGUGACAAGCAUUGCACUUAAAUAAAGAAGCACAACACACAAAAAAUGUCKUCAUCCAGCGUAGAUGUACCGCGGAUUAUGGUCUUUCGACCGACUUGGGAAGAAUUCAAGAAUUUUCCCAAAUACAUCGCCUACAUGGAAUCACAAGGCGCACACAAAGCCGGUUUGGCCAAAGUAGUGCCACCACCCGAGUGGGUGCCACGACGCAGUGGCUACGAUGACCUGGAUGCACUCAACAUAACCAUACCGGCGCCGAUUUGUCAGGUGGUGACCGGCAAACAGGGUCUCUAUCAACAAAUCAACAUACAGAAGAAACCACUCACCGUGAAGCAAUUCAGUGAAUUGGCGUCCACAGAGCGGUAUCAAACGCCCAAACAUUUUGACUUUGAAGAUCUCGAGCGUAAAUAUUGGAAGAAUAUUACCUAUGUAGCGCCGAUAUAUGGAGCGGAUGUUAGCGGUAGUAUUACAGAUGUGGAUCAGGAUAGUUGGAAUAUAAAUCGUCUGGGCACAAUAYUGGACUUUGUUAACGAGGAUUACGGCAUUCAAAUUGAUGGUGUGAAUACGGCAUAUUUGUAUUUUGGYAUGUGGAAGACCACUUUUGCCUGGCACACCGAAGAUAUGGAUCUCUAUUCGAUAAACUAUUUACACUUUGGCGCACCGAAGACGUGGUAUGUCGUUCCACCCGAACAUGGGCGCAAAUUGGAGAAGGUCGCGAAUCAAUAUUUUCCGGCAAGCUAUCAAAAUUGCAACGCAUAUUUGCGGCAUAAAAUGACACUGAUCAGUCCGCAAGUGCUUAAGCAACACGAUGUGCCAGUGAGCAAAAUAACACAAGAGGCUGGUGAAAUAAUGAUAACAUUUCCUUUCGGCUACCAYGCCGGCUUCAAUCAUGGUUUCAAUUGCGCCGAGUCUACAAAUUUUGCUAUGGAACGGUGGAUUGAAUAUGGAAAACGUGCCGUUCAAUGUACCUGCAGCAACGAUAUGGUUAAGAUCUCCAUGGACACAUUCGUGAAACGCUUUCAGCCCGACCGCUAUCAGGCGUGGCUGGAGGGCAAUGAUGUGGGCAGACAUCCGGAGGAUCCGCCCAGUGCUGUAGCCGCAGCACCACUACCAUCACAUUUGGAUGUGACAUGCAAUAAGAAUCAUGGGGCUGACAAUAUACCAAUGCACGUAAUACAAAGAAUGAAGAAACAAUGUAACCCUACAAAAAAGAAGUCAUUCAAAGAGCGCAAUCCUGACUUGAAUUUAGAGGAGAUACAACUAAAUCCCAACAUACCCGAUGAGGUUAAGGCUGUACUGAAAGAGAGCGUACUCACACUCGACGCUGAGGACGAAGAGCCGGCCAUAAUCGGUGACGGUGAACCUGAGUUACUGAUUCCACUAAGYCCAGCUAAUUUGAAGACCAAAAAGGAAUUAUUAGACUACAUCGAUGAUGGCACAGAUGAAGAUGAGGAGGAGGAGUUUCGUAAGCGUCGUCAUAAGCGCAAACAUCAUUCCGAUUAUGAUGAUGAUUGGUUCACCAGCAAACGGCGUACGAAUUCACGMAAUAGCAGUAAAGGUCGUAGUCCGCGCAAUAGCAAUAAAGACGAUCGCUCCAUAUCGCCGGCAUCKUCAACAUCCUCAUCGUCACGUGCACGUCGUCAGCCAUGUACGACGCCUGGCAAAACGCCACGCAAGACGCCAAAUCGCCGAAAGAAAGACAAUGCAGCGACAACACCAAAUGCUACCGCCGCCACGACAGUGCUCACAAAAGCGACACAAAUCGAGGCUGUGGCAAACGUUCUGAAAACCGCAGCAGCCGUUUCGCAAGCGCUAAGCGGACAAUGCAGUGAUGAAAAUGGCAAUAGCAAUAGCAACAGCAGUGGCGGUGUUGCGAGCACACCAGCGCCCAASGUUGAGACACCAGCUGUAGCCGUGACCGUGUCAGCCGUAGCUGCUGCUGCCGAUUUGGCGGGAGGUAACGGCAGUUUAGCAGUCACAACAAAUUCAACUACCACAACCGCGCACACUCCCGUAAUACGUGUGGUGCGUAAGUUGAGCGAUCAGCUAAGCAAUCACAACAACGAUCUCCCCUCUGUGCCGAGUGUGUUGCAGUUCAUGCAACAAACACGUAAAUUCGAGGGUAAAAUACCGAAAAUCGGUCAACAAGUGAAUUUACAACGCGCCCAACUGCUCAUAAUGCCAACAACAUCGAACGCUUCGACCGGCUCCACUGCUGUUGCUAAUACCACUAACGCCAUAACAACAGCAACAACAUCUAGUCAGCAACAACAACAACAGCAACAGCAGCUUGAGCAGGAGCAACAACAGCAAACAAUUGUUUAUACAACAAUGUUGCCGGCAGCAAGCACAUUGAAUGGCAUCGUUGCACAGCAAAGUGCGCAGCAACAACAACAGCAAACACAAUACAUUACAAUACCCGCCACAUCGUCGGCGUCGGGUGCUAAUAGCACGGACGGCACUGUUUAUCAGUUGCAAAGYGAAAUUGUUUGCGAUGCAGCUACAUAUCAGCAACAGCAGCAACAACAACAGCAACAGCACGAACAGCAGCAACAACAACAACAAUUGACUGCACAAAGCAUYAACGGCAAUACAAUUGCUGUAACGUCGGCCGCCGCAGCGCAAGACAAUGUGGUCACCACUAUUAGUUCGUCCCCUAUACUGCUCACCUCGACCGCCGCUGCUGUCGCCGAAGCCAAUAAUAACCACCACCAGCAACAUCAUCUCCAACAACAACACAAUUCCGCUGCUGCCGCCACAUCGACCUAUACCACCACAACCACCACUGCCACACCGCUCCACGCAAUCAAAACUGAAAUUAACGACGAAACGAAUCACAUUAUUGUCAAUGGCGAUGGGACAACGCUGCAGACGCAGUCGCACCCUCAGUAUCAUUACAUCACCACUACAGGUGAAGAUGGACAAACGCCGACGACAAUCGUUUUUGAAAACUACAAUGGUGAGGUCACUGAAGUGAAUGGGGGUGGGGGCGCCACCACGAUCAUUAAAUUUGAGGGUGGCGAUACCGAGUAUCAAGGAUAUCAGGUGAUAAAACAAGAGGAGGAUAACUCAAAUGGCAUGCACAAUGAUGGAUCGUCAAUGGAACAACAACAGCAACAAAACCAACAACAACAACAUCAGCAGCAACAACAGCAACCACAAUUUACUUAUAAAACUAUAAAACAAGACCAAGAAAUGAAUCAAACUAUAACCGACACGAUAAUAGUGCCCGCCAACGGCGUACCAGCGAUACCACCGCAAAAACAAAAGCGCAAGCGAAAAACACGUUUGAUUUCUCCCGACGAACAGGGCGAGUACUUGGAGAAGAUGUCGGUGCGCGGUCUGGACAUCCAGCGUUACGAACAUAUCAUUGACGGCGUCUCCUAUUGCCUGGUGUGUGCCAAAAAUGACGUUUUCAAAACAUUCAAAAACAAAUACAGUUUCCAACGUCACGCCUACCUAUUCCACGAAGGCGACAAUCGCAAGAUAUUCGCCUGCCCCAUUUGCAAUAAAGAGUUUUCACGUCCCGACAAAAUGAAAAUGCAUAAAAAAGAUAAACAUGGCGACAUGCAAGUACCCGAUGGCACUCUUACAACAGCGGCCACACCGGUGAAACAAUCGCCAGACACCAAUACAGGUAAGCGUCCACGUGCCACCAGCGCACGAUCAUCACGUGCGCGGAAACCACGCGCCACCAUAGCCAACACCGCGACGGCGACUGUCAACAGCGGCAGUGAAGAGAAUGCCGUUGAAGCGAAGCGUAAACGCCUUGCGCAAAUCGAUAGCGUUUUAGAUGUCGUGCAGCAGCAAGCAGCCGGCGUAAAUGGAACACAGGCGCAAACGACCACUAUCAAUGUACAACUGCAACAGCAGGCAAACGCACAAGUGCAGGUACAACAACAACAGGCAUUGCCGCCCAUCGAUUUGAGUGGCAUGAUUCUGCCUGGUGGCGCUCAGCUAGCGCUGGCCAAUCCCGGCGCAACGUCUGCGCUUCUCCAGCAACAACGCGUUGCACAACAACAACAACAGCAGCAGCAACAGUCGCAUGCCCCACCACCACAGCAUAUUGCAUUGUCUGCGCAAGCAACGCAGGUGCUGCAGCCGUCAGCAACAGCCGCCACUGCUGCUGGCGCCGCUGGCACCACUCUCAUUUAUUCCAAUCAGAUUGAUUUGCAGCAAGCGCUGUUACAGCAACAGCUGCAUGGCCAAAGUAUUAUGAUACAAGAUCAAGCUGGCAAUUUGGUGCCGCUGCAAUCAUUGCAAGCGCUCAACGCAACCACCACGCUAGACGGUACGCAAACAAUCUACACCACACAGCCGGCGCGUCAUGCACAACCGCCGCAACAGUUGCUGCAGCCAACGCACCAAACGACGCCGCCAAAUGCCUAUCAGCCGGCGCCGCAACAGCAUAUACAGCUGCAGGCGUUACCAACCGGUUCGCCACAAGAGACUAUCAUCACAACGACAUCGCCUGCCGCGCAGGCUCAGCAGCAACAGCAACAGCAGCUGAAAACAACCACACAGCAUCAGCAACAGCACACAAGCAAUGUUGUGACACAGCAGCAGCAGCAACAACAACAACAGCACUAUGAGCUAGAAAAUGUUGCGUAUUUGUCGUCGACUGCUGCAACGCCGGCGCCGCCAGAGCAACAACAUCAACAACAACAACACCAUGUCAUCGGCACUGUGCAAAGCUAUCAGAUACUCACGCCCGACGGUUUGCAAAGCUACCCCACCGCCACAGCGACGACAACCAAGUUGGAACCGAGCGAUUUGGCGGAACUUUGUCCAUACACUUCAAUGACCAGCACGACGCCACAUUACACAUUCACAACACAUGCGGGACAUCAUGGCGCCACCGCGGACGCGCUGCAUCAGCAAGUUGCCGGCGCCACAACUAGUCAUACACAGCAGCAGCAGCAGCAGCACCAGUUGACGGCUGGCGGCGGCGGCCAGCAGCAGCAUCACAUACAGCAGCAGCAUCAUUUCAUGGAGCUCAAGAACGAUUUGUUGAUUAAAAGCGCAACUGAUGCGUACGCGUUGGACGCGAGCUCCAUGUAUCACCUGCCCUUCUCGCCGUCAUCGAUGAUCAGCUCGGUGAAUGAUGGCAACGGACAGUCGCUGCUCGAAACCAAAGAGAUUAGGACCAUUGCUGGGACACAAGUCAGAAAUACCAACAAUACCGUUAUUACCACCACCAGCAGCAACAACAACAAGAAGACAACGAUACAGCCGCGUACAGUGCAACUGUUAGUGACGCGUCGUCCCAUCAUCGCAAACAACAACGCCAACAGCAAYAGAACGCAAGUUGUUGCAAACAAUARUGGCGCUGCCGCCACGCAAACAGCGACAAUUGUGACACCUGGCGUAUUGAAAAUAUCUUCGGCGGCAAUGCAUGCAAAUAACAAUAAUAACAAUCAAAUUUUACAUACCACCACCGGUACUGAAACCGUCGUAAUUGAGGAGGAGGACGAUGAACUGCUCACAGCCACGAGUGGCGAUGACGGCUCAAUGUCACCGAACGCACUMGCUAUGUCGGCGACYACAGCGCAAAUUUUACGCAAAUUCCGUAUACCUAAGGGAACUGCAUUGACGGCGAAAUCGAUCAGCAGCGUGGAAGUGGCAACUAGUGCGCCGGAGGCGUUAAUUUGCAGCACUUCAACAUCGCCAGUGAACUCGCCAAUACAUUCUACUUCGUGUUCGCCACCACCACCGGCUGACACACCGAACUCUGUAGAUUUGGUGGAGGAGGUGAUMGAGACCGACGAGAAUUCAACGUGUCAGUCAACCGACGAAGUGCUGAUCACCGCGGACACGACCACAGCCGACACCAUAAACGAGUGUGAGGAAGACGCGGUCGAAGAAACUGAUGUCGAUUCUAACACCAACAACACUACGACAGUUUUAGUGCCUGCCAAUAGCGGUAGCGCCGCAUUAACAACAACAACUGCGACRGCACUGCCGCAAAUUCAACUGCAAACGCUACAACCGAAUGGCACAGUGACGUGUAUUAAUCUGCCGCCGAACACGAUUCUGCUCACUGCGCCAGAUGGUUCCACGAUACUCGCCACAGCGACGCCACAGCAGUUGAGUAAAUUAACACAACAACAACAGCCACAGCCACAACCGCAGCAACAACAAAUAAUAGCGAUACAAGAUUGGAAUGGCAGUAGCGGUGGCGCCKGCGCCAGCAGCUCCAACAGAAGUGUCGACGCUAAUGCCACAACAGUGCUACAAGCUGUGCAAGCUGCCGCAACACACCACCAACAACAAACAGCCACCACAACGCAAACAUUGCUGCUCACCGCCGACGGCACCGCCAUACCAAUCAUACAAUCGGCACCAGCUGCCGCAACCAGUGCCAACAGCGCCACUUCGAAUUCGGCGGCGGCAGCAGCAGCUGCAGCUCAGAUUGUCGCCGCCCAACAGGCUGAGGCGCUGAAGGCGCAAGUGCUGGCGUAGGGUUUAGCCGGUGGCCAAUUAGGGCGAUUUCUGAAUAAUGCAACGAUUUUACCGACGACCUACUUUUUCUAAGACGACCAGCAGAGACUCCUCUACUCAACAUUACAGAUUUCUGUUUCACAAUCAGAAACUAUAUUCUGUUCAGUAUCUAACGCAGUAAACAAGACGACUGUCAGUUACUACACACACGAAAAAKAUUAUUAAURAAAUUAAGGAGACCAGUUGAGGCAAAUCAUAGAAGAAAAUAAAAGUACUAUAUUUUACUAUUCAAUUAGUUUAUAUUUUAAUUAUGUAUGUAAAUACAUAUUAAAUUAAUAAGAUUUAAUAAUAAUAAAAUAAAAUUUACUGAAAUAAUAUUUAAAUGCAACGUGCUUAAAAAAGCGACGAGUUACAAGUAUUCCUUUUUUUGUAGAUUCUUAGUACUCAGUUGACAUGACUAUGUGCUGAUUGAUAUUUAAUAAUAUUUGAUUUUCAAUUGAAAAAUAUAUGAAAAUGUUUAACAACUUGUAUGUACGUUUAGUAUAUAGACAUAAAAAAUGGAAUAGUUUUAAUCACAUGUUAAUAAGUACAUAAACUCAACUAAUUUAAGCCAAGCAAAACAAACAAACCGAAAAGCAAAUGCGAAAAACUAUUUUAAACAUAAAAUUAUUGAAUUUAGAAACGAAAUGCAAAUUCAGAAUACUUUUGAAUUGGAUAAUUUAUUUAAAAUUUAAGCCAUUUAAAUUAAAAUUCUUUUAAAUUUAUUUAAACAUAAUAAAUCAUUUUCCUUUAACUUAAUUUAAGAACACUUCUUAAUAAGAAAAAAAGUGAAGUAAAUCAAAUCAUGUAAGAAGAAAAUUUGACCAACAAACAAAACCAAUGAUUGAUAAUUAGUAUAAUAGUAAUUAAAGCAUAAAAUAUAUAAUUAUUAUAAGUUUAUUAURCGAAAAUAACAAGUUAUUGAAAAACAGAAAACAUAAAAAAUAUUUUAAAAAAAUGGAAUAGUUUGAGCGAGAUAUUAAUAAAAAAAAUUAAUAAAAAUUAAACUGUUGUAAGAACCUGUAAAAUAUAUACAUAUAUUAAUGUAAAAGCUUAAAUGACCCAUUCAUAUUGCAUGUAGCUCAUGUAACUAACAUUAUUAACUGCACUGUGCUAGUCAGAAAACUAUAARCAUACAAUCACUCGGCUGGUAGUACUUUAUCGUAAUUACACCAGCGCAGAGUUGUUGAUUGUGCUAAUGAAAAAAAUAUAUAAUUAUAAAAAAGUUCCCACUUCAAGCACAGUGUAACAAUGUGAAAUAUUAAAUUAUCUGUUAAUAUUAUACAUUACAUACCUACAAGUAUAUAAUAUAAAAUAAAGACGAAAAUUAUUUCAUAAA